rnacentral:rRNA from 1 species
CCCAGACAGCCAGGAUGUUGGCUUAGAAGCAGCCAUCAUUUAAAGAAAGCGUAAUAGCUCACUGGUCGAGUCGGCCUGCGCGGAAGAUGUAACGGGGCUAAACCAUGCACCGAAGCUGCGGCAGCGAACGUAUCACUUAAAGCGAUUCAGCGGAUGACGAUUGACGGAGCGAAGCGACGUCAAAGCGUAUACAAAGUCGAGUCGGUUUAAGGAUACGUUCGUUGGGUAGGGGAGCGUUCUGUAAGCCUGUGAAGGUGGCCUGUGAGGGUUGCUGGAGGUAUCAGAAGUGCGAAUGCUGACAUAAGUAACGAUAAAGCGGGUGAAAAGCCCGCUCGCCGGAAGACCAAGGGUUCCUGUCCAACGUUAAUCGGGGCAGGGUGAGUCGACCCCUAAGGC